GGCAACGACCAUACCACGUUGAAAACACCAGUACUCGUCCGAUCACUGAAGUCAAGCAACGUCGGGCCGUGUUAGUACUUGCAUGGGUGACCGGCUGGGAAUACCCGGUGUUGUUGUCU
rnacentral:rRNA from 1 species